UUCUGGCUCAGGAUGAACGCUAGCGGCAGGCUUAACACAUGCAAGUCGAGGGGCAGCGGGAUGUAGCAAUACAUUGCCGGCGACCGGCGGAUGGGUGCGUAACGCGUAUGCAACCUACCUUAUACAGGGGAAUAACCUUUCGAAAGGGAGACUAACACCCCAUAGUAUUGAUUUAAGGCAUCUUAGAUUAAUUAAAUAUUUAUAGGUAUAAGAUGGGCAUGCGUAUGAUUAGCUAGUUGGUAAGGUAACGGCUUACCAAGGCGACGAUCAUUAGGGGUUCUGAGAGGAAGGUCCCCACACUGGUACUGAGACACGGACCAGACUCCUACGGGAGGCAGCAGUGAGGAAUAUUGGUCAAUGGGCGCAAGCCUGAACCAGCCAUGCCGCGUGCCAGGAAGACGGCCUUAUGGGUUGUAAACUGCUUUUACAUAAGACUAACCGUAUAUUUGCGAAUAUACCUGAAUGUAUUAUGAGAAUAAGGAUCGGCUAACUCCGUGCCAGCCGCCGC
rnacentral:rRNA from 1 species